UACGAAGGGGGCUAGCGUUGCUCGGAAUCACUGGGCGUAAAGGGUGCGUAGGCGGGUUUUUAAGUCAGGGGUGAAAUCCUGGAGCUCAACUCCAGAACUGCCUUUGAUACUGUGGUGCUUGAGUACUGGAGAGGAGAUUGGAAUUUACGGUGUAGCAGUGAAAUGCGUAGAUAUCGUAAGGAAGACCAGUGGCGAAGGCGAAUCUCUGGACAGUUACUGACACUGAGGCACGAAGGCCAGGGGAGCAAACGGG
rnacentral:rRNA from 1 species